AUAAGCUGGCCACACUCGUCAAAGCCUGCGCCAACGUAAUCGUGACGAGUCGCUGCCAUUAACCGACAAUCGGCCAUUAUCGGCUGAAAGGAAGCAACAAAACUCAGCAUUUUGCUAUUGCAUCGAACAUUCUUCGUUUCAACUAGUCAAGGUUACGUCCGCGUUUCUAACGUUGCUACCAUUAAGCGCAAUUUAUGAAUUUAUGAAUCGACGGACGAAGGAAAACGUGGACUCGUGUAACGCUACUGUGUCCUCUUCAAAUUUUUCUGUCUCGAGGAAUUUUCUAAUUUUCAUGGCAGAUUCGAGAGCCGAGAGGUUGUUGAUCUCGGCUUUAAAGGAAUUUUACCGCGUAGGUUUUGCCGUAAUUCUAACGCUGGUGAAUAUUAAUUAAUGAAUUACAUGUGGCGCGAUUAGAAAUGUUCAGGAUACGAUGAUUUACUCUCUCGACUUCUCAAUAGGUUUUUUCACCUAUUCCAUUUGAAUUUAGUUCACCGUAUGAAUAAAUAACGCAUUCCAUGAAUUAAAUAUUGACUCUUGGCAGUUGCUAAGAGAUUGAUCGCGAGUCAAUGAACUUUUGCUUUAGUCGCUGCUCCUGACUUCUUUUACGAUGUACAACCUUUUAUGAAAUUACAUAUCCGUGUCUCCUUGCUCGUUUAGCUUGCGCUAUCCGACUAUCAAACCAUUACGUUCAACUAACUUAACCGCUCUUAAUAAUUCCUAAUAAACUCUUAAUAAGAAUCGUUCGAUCAUACAUCUUUACAACCUGACACGUCAUUUACUCGCGAUCCAAAAAGAAAUUAUUCCCAGGAAGAAAUGACAAGUCCUAUACCGUAUACGCGAUACCAGAUACCAUCGAAAUUAAUAAUUAAAAAAUUCAAUGACACGAAGCGUGAAAUUUUACAGCUGAACCGACUCGAUUUCCCUCGACUUCUCACAUAUCGUUCUAAUACACCUGUGCGUAUCUCCAAGCUGUUCGUUCGCUCGCAUCGUCCCAAUGCUUGAAACGAAAGUUGCAUUCGAUGAACGAAGAGUCGUGGUUGUUUUAAUCGAGCUCACGGCCCGACAGAGACUGUCAGUGUAAGAAAACGACGGCUGUAUGGGAGAAUAUCCGGUGGGAUCCAGGAGCGUGCAGCGUUGGUCUACACGAGCGUGACUACGUACAUACGUUAUGAGGACGACGAGAAGGGGCCCUGACGGCCGAUCGGUCACUUUAGACGAGCUGCCAGUCACGCAAUUACAUCAAUCGGUCGUCGACGACCGAUCCAGCCGUGUCGGCCAGAGAAAAAACAACGUGGUCGAUCGGCGCCGCCGUUUCUUCGCGCGCAUGCAAAGAAGCUCUAAAGAGAGAGACAGCUGCCCUUUAACAUCGCGUCCCAAUGGGCCUUCGAUCUCGAUGUAUAGCCGGUAAUGGCGUGUUUAAAAUCGAUACGUGAGAAAUCAAUGGUUUGAAGAAUGAUUCCAAGUAGAUGGUGUACUGAAUGAUUCAUUAGAAACGUGUUGCGAUAUAAUUGAAACGAAAUCCUGUAGUGUUGAAAAAUUCCAAAUUUACCUUCUAUCCUGUGUCGUAUAAUACGCAAAGCUCUAGUAGUCUGGUCCGAUGAAAAGUGACUUUUCGGUGUAGAUUUCGGUAUAGGUAGAAUGGAAAGUUAUUUUUACGUUUGACAAAGUUUCUUUCUUUUUUUUUGGCGAAAAAUUUGCCUUAAUGCGCGAGGUAACGAAAGACAGGUUCGAUUGGAGGAUAUCGUCGCCAGUCGCUCUAUUUAUACUCUUUCGUGUCUCGAUGCUUUGCGAGGGUGCUAUUCUCGUCGGUAACAGAGUGCUUUGCACUCGAACUUGGGCCCACGACGAACGCUAUGGAAACACGAAGAAAGUUACUGCGAGUAAGCAAACGAAGCGUAAGCCUAACGACACGGUGGACCUGCACGGACCUUCGAAAACAACGAUAUCCUUGUCGCGUGGAAAUAUACAUUGAAAGUAGCAAAUGAAAUUACCUAAAUGUAAAUAAGUAACGCAGUGAUAAGACGCGUGAGUCUUAAAACGAAACACAUAUUCGAGUAAAUUAAAGAUCGUUCGAUGAAGAUGAUGAUUUUCGCUGCAAGUAUUAAUUCGUAAUUUUAAAGAAUGAAAUUAAAACGGUACGGUGAAAGUGUUCGUACGUUCGUACACGUGACGCUUAAUCGAGUUGCAGAGAAUGAAUGGAGCUACUGUGAUUCUGAUUCCGCGUAAAUGUGUGAGUGUGUCGACGGGCGAUUAAGUAUCCCCUAUCAAGCGUAUAUUUUUUAAUAAGAAGAAAACAAAACUCGAUGGUCGUGGUAAAUAAUCUGAACAAUUGAAAACAUCAAAUACCACGUUGAAAUUAUUAAACUAAAUUGGAAAUAAGAGGGCGUCAGUUUGUGCAAUCGGUUUAACGUAAAAAAAGAUAGAUUACAGUCGCUUGGAAAGUACGCUUUUCUAUUAUCGGAUUACUCCUUUUUUUCUAACUGUUUUUUUUAAAUCGGUUCAGUUCUUAGAUAGCUUCGAACGCCAUAACGAGAAUCGAUGACGAGUGAAAUUAUAUUUUUAUCGGUACGAAGGAAAUAAGAGGAAAAGUGACGUAAAUCGAAGCAAGCGCAUUCCACUUUUUGGUUAAACUAUCGAGCGUUCCAUUGUUCGCUCGAGCUGUUCGAAACCUCGUCGUGAAAACGUACUACGGCCGUAAACAACGUCAUUUCCCCUGACAGAUCAAUCGUUGCAAAACUGUCGAAAAAGAAUAGCCGAAGAAAAAAGCAAGAACGAAAUUGCAUUUCCAUCCUGGAGAAGCCAGCAAGAAGACAAUCGGCGUGAAACAAACGAAACACCGCAGAGGUUUAUCUCUGAACAGCAAUUCCAAGCGCCUGUUGUACGCGAGCGCGAGCCGCAAUAAAAUCGCAAUAAGAGUCGGAUCGUUCUUAUUGCAACGCGAAGAAUUCAAGAUCUUGUCACCAGCAUUCUUGUUGUUAAUAGUUCGUCAAGCGAGGACAAAGUGGCCGUGAUUUUUAUUGGUAGCCGCGAAUAAAGUAGCGACGGCCAUUCGUUUUGACAAAUCCUCGGGCAAGAAACGAAUAUCCACGGCGAAGCCGGUAGAGAGAUCGGCAACACGAUCGUAAUUCAAGCAGGAUCAAGUGUUAAUUGGCCUUGUUAGAACGAUGCUGAGCUAGCGGCCCGAGGCAACGGCGCCUUCUAAUUACAAUUUUCCGUUUUUCCAUCUUUUGUUUUUCUUCUCGGUGUUUUUCCUGCACGAGCUUCCUUCUCGAACCACGCUUCGGCGAGUGGGCGGCUUUCAUCGUUAGAACGCGGCUUGCCAAUGGCAAUUCAUCGCCACUUUCACUGGAUGCUACUGCCGCUGCUCGCGUUUCUCGAAUGUGCCGUUUUAUUGUCUAAGUGGCGACGAUAUCGCGCCACCGAACAACGAGGGAAUGUUCUCUCGCCUCUCGCGCUUAACAAACGUGCGUACUGUUUUAUUAACCGUGAUGGUUAGUUCUCUCGAACUGAUUGCUUCCUUCGACUAUUUUGAUAAUCGUCUUGCUAACGUUGCAUACGAAAAGCUUCUUCUUGCAGCAAGCGAGCUCUAGUUUUAAAUAAUAUUCCUACGAGAAUUCGAUGUUUCUAAAUUAAUUUCAUCAAUUUUCGCAGUCGGAACGAGCCCUUCCUCUUGUCAAAAAUAUUCUUCAUUUUGAGAAAAAUACAGAAGAAUCUAAAGAACUCAAGGACAUCCAAUUACCUUUGACACCGACAUCGACAUCGUGCGAUCUAAUGAAACUAACCAUCGAGGGAAGCGUUGGAAACCACACGCCGUAAUAACAGGCCGAUUUCUAUGGAAACAUUCACUGUGGCGUUUCAUCGUGAAGGAUGGAUCGGAGUCGUUCUGCUCUGUAAUCACUGACUGAACGCAUCGAAGGUAAUAGAUAGAGUGUGAAUCAUAAACCUUGUCUACGCUUCUCUUGGAAGACCUCCAUCCUGGCUGUAAAAGCUCUUUUUAGUAGCGCUUAACCGUACACCCUUUUCUUCUCCUUGUGACACGUUUAGCACAUCGCCAGGCCAUUAGUCGACCGGUCGAUUUUUCAGCGAGCCACGUUGAUGAACCAACGGCGAACCGGCCGAUAAUUUCUAUUUGCACUACCAUAGAAGGAAAAACAUCGUGUAAUCUUUAUUUGAAAAGCAUAUUUUCCCGGUUUAAUCCGAUUGAAAAUGAUGUGGAGGUAGCGUAUUUGCGAAACAUAUCGCAUGAUACGAUAGACGUGUGUUUGUGAUUAAAUAAAUAGAAGUAAACGAGGGUGAGAGGUAUACGAUCGCGUCGUAGGAAUUUUAUGCAAAGAAUACAUCGGUUUCAAUGGAAUUCGAAAAACAGCGUUCCAUCUCCUGAAUGAAUCUUCAUUCUUUGAAUUCAUUUGAAAAGAAUUUUUAUUAAGGAUUAUUUAUUGAAGGAAAAUUUACAAACAUUCGACUUAACGGCUGAAAGAUGUCAGUAAGUCAGAACUUCUUUUCAGAUUAUUCCGACGCAAGAACACAAUUGUGGCAAAGAACUGUGUCUAAAGAUUCUGACGAUCGUCAGUAGCGCGAUAUAUGUUUCGUGAUAAUCGACAAGAACCUCCUAAGUUUUAAAAUAAUAAAUAAUAAAUAAUAAAGAAGUAUUAAUCGAUGCGUUAAGGUGCUUCGCACGUUUAUGCAUAUCGGUGUAAACACGCAUAUGUAUUUGCAUGCUGAUAUAGGUGUUACCGGCAGUUCUUUACGACAAACGGAAACGUACACGUGAGCAAAUCUACAGGAAUAAAAAUUACGUGGUGGCAGAUGUUUGCGGAUGUUCGUCUUGCGUAUUAAACCACGAAGUAGACAAUGAAACAGAAGGAUGGAACGAAAGAUAUUAAUAGAAAUGGUAUGAUCGGAGCGACCACAACGGUUUCGGCGAAAUUUCGUAAAACUACAAUUUCUACUAAAAAUUUUUAAAGCUUCCUUCCCGAUGACGGCACCUUCUUCAAACCUAAAAAUGAGUCAAUUUCCCCGAAGGCUGUUCUCGUCGAUUCACGACGCAUCGAUGAUCUCACGUGCUGUUUUGCAACACCAACGUCAUCUCCUACGAGCGAUUGAAAAUUGACAAAGCACAGAACUCGCCUGAUAGAAAAUCAGCCGUUCCACGAUGCGAUCUAUGUCGUCGAAGGACGCGAAUGUUAAUGAAACGCUCGUAUAAUGCACAGCUGGAAAAGUAAACGUUCCAAUGCGAAUUAUAUCUACGCGGUAACGACAAAUGGUAGUCGGUCGACAGACGAGAAGCGAACAUGGCGAUUCGCGUCCAGAAAAGGCAACAAUGAGCAAAUAUCCAGAUAGAACGAGCAGCGCGCGGCUUCAUAAACGAUCUAGCCGUUAAGAACGCGCCUUACGAUUCUCGGGAAAAGCGACAGCAAACGUUGGCCCGCUUGGCCGCUACAAAUUGUUUAAUUGCUCGACUCUCGCCGCGGAAUUUCUCGACGAUGAGCUCACACGUCUGCGAUGCGUCGCACUUCCGCGAGGAUAUCGACGUUUUCUGACGAACCAUUUUUAUCAGUUUCGCCGAAGGUGGCUCGUCUUGCGAAAGUAACGUCGACGUAUCGAUCUUCUACGGCGAAACGCUGGAUCAUCGGUGACCGAAAAAAAUGUCAGACGCCAGCGAGUCAGAAGCCACUUAAACGCGUCAGAUUCUGCUAAGUUCAUCUUGGUCUCGAGAAGCUUAGCAAGAAAAUGUAGAGCACACGCGUGACAGGAAGCGCAUCAGUCCGCAGCGCGUAAAACACGCGAGCGCGUGCAAGAUUUGCUUCGCGAAGGAACGCUUGACUUUAAUUGCGGGAAAGUGUGACGCUAGGACAACCCACGCGGCAUAUUUCUGCCCCUGAAAAGAAUCUGCCCUUGGUACGCGAACGUGCACCGAGCACAGGAGGAAGUCUUAAAAUCGUUUUUCUCGUUGAACCCUCCUUUACUUGUUUUUCUUCCUUAUCGCGCCAAAACAGAUAAGGCGAACUAACUAUGCCGUUUUCUCACGCCAACGGUCAUUCCUAAACGAUGAACCUCUUAGAUUCUUCUCUUUCUUUCUUCUACGUUAAAAUUAGAAGAAGGAAAUUACACGCUCCGAAUCGUAUUCUUCGUUAUGAUAUAAUUUUACGUCGAUUCCUUUUUUCUUGGAACCGCGGAAGAUGAUCGACCGGAAAGGCUUCCGAAAUAUCCCAACAACGUGGCAGUGCCAUGCAUAAGUAACUUUUAGAAUCUGCGCUGAAAGUCUGGUGGACCAGUGAUAACCAGUAGAUAACAGAAAAAUGCAGGACAUUCCAAAGUAGUUUAUCUUCGAACAAUGGCACGAACGUUAUCGCGAAGAACAGAAGAAAGUGCACUUUCCGUAAUGGAUUCAACGCUUAACCGUUCAGCUCCUGUUUGCAUUCGGAUAGAUUUUAAAAUAACACUUUGUUCGUGUCUGCCACUUAUCUAUUGGUUUCGUGCGAGUUCCCUAUACCAUCGAGCUACUUUUCUUUAUGUGAAAAGAAAGAAUAGAAACUAAGAGACGUUCCAGCUCUGUUAAGAUUCAGUUUUUCGUGCCAUUUAACGAACCCUACCGUAAAAACGCAGAGGAGUAAAUAAUUUCAGAAAAAUUAAGGAAAGAACCGAUGAAAUCGAGUGAUUCGACUAUUAACAUGAAACGAAUUAAGAAAGAAGAAGAAAAAGUGAAACAAGCAGCCGAUUCACCGGCUCCGAGAAAAUCGAUACGUCUUUUGUCAUUAAAACACCAUGGCAGACCUGCAUGGACGACAGGAAAUAUCCUGUUACCGUGCGUAUUUAUGGUCGCCAUGCCUCGAGGAUACGGCCACAUGUCGCGGAGUAUCCUUGUCUUUGUCGGAGAGAAAGUUCGUCCCGUGGGAUUUCUCAAAGGACAAACGAUUUACCACUUGAGAAAACGAAGCUCGUGCUACCCUUCGAACAAGCACGCAAAACGGAAAGAGGAGAGAGCUCUUCAGACGCUGUUUACAACUGUUUAUAGCAUCGUGAAUGCACGUAAUCCAUUUACAUAUGUAUCGUUGGCUGCGACAAGGGUCUCAGUGCCAAAAAUAACUUUUUGAGAGAAAAUGUUUACCAACCACCCGCUAUUCAGAGACUCGAGGCUUUCUUGACUUCAGUCUAACUACGUUCAUCAAAAUCGGCGAUUCCAUGUACAUAUAAGCCGUGACUUUUUCGAAUUUAUCUUGGAAAAGACCGAGACAGACCGGAGAGGUUGUAGUUUGACCCACCGUUCAAAGCAAGACACCUGUUUCUUGGAUCAAACUAUUCUUGGAAAGAGCGAGAAUCGCUAAAAAUUCUGUAGAACGUCUACGGUGAUUAUUUAAAAGCGUGGCCUCCUCGUCGAUUUCAGUGACCUUAAAAAUCAAGGUCGCCAUUCUGAACAGCUCUUUCCCACACACGCGACCGCUGUUCGGCUUUAUAUUCAAGAUAUUGGCAAAAAGCUUUUGUUAAAUUUACCUCAUGAAUAUUCAUGAAUUAUCAUUGCAGCGUGAAUUCUGGCAUAGGCGGUCGCCUAAUGGCGACCACAUUCCUAUAACACAGCCUUAUAAAUAAACCUACGGAUUAAAGGAAAAAAUUAAUGGGUUAUAAGUUGGGCUAAAUUUAUAUCCGAUCGUCGAGUGGCGGCCGGCAACGCUAGCAUAGAAAUACAUAUAUAUAUAUACUGCCAAUUAUAGAUUUAAAUUCAACGAAAGAUCUUUGCAAAUAUCUCGAGAAGGUUUUUCAGAAUAAUGGCCUUGGCAACAUAUUUCAAGAUCAUCGAAGUCGGUGAGGUGGGCACGAUUCUAGAUAAUUACCGAAUCUGCUUUCCAAUAAUAAAUAUCAUUUCCCACGAUGUUUAUAUUAUUUCAAAGAAAAUACUGAAAUUCAGAAGCAAAAAGGUCGAACGUAUAAAAAUAAACUCACUGGUGCGACAGGGUGAAUAUUCCUGUGACUCGUUGAAGUUGUUGCUGACGGCCCAGCAGGUGCCAACGGGUUCCCUUCUACUUCCAACGGGCGAGUCCUUGUUCCAUCGAUUGUCUUCCGGAUCGUACUUCUGUUGGGACACGGAGAACCAGAUGUACCUCGGGGCGCACGCCUGCAAGCAUAUCAAACAGGAACGUUUAACGUCGUUCGCCUCUCGCCACGCAUCGCGCUCUCGUAUUGUUAAUGGCCGUUCCAUCGCAAUUAGACGUAACGACCAGCCUGUCCACUCGUUAAGCACAUUUUGUUCCAACGUACAACAGGCAAGGACUUCCGUGCCGAUUGAAAUUCCACGUAAAUACACGUGGAUCGAUCUUUACGCAACCAAUUCCAAAUUCUUGUUUCGAUCGUCUUGAAGUAAAAUGGUAUUUCAAUUAAUAUACAGGUUUCCCUGUACAUUAAUAUUACGUUCGAUUACUUAACGACGAUUAUUAAGCAAAUUAUUUUCUUCCUCUUAGUUCAUUUCUCAAUGAAAACCAUUUCUUCUAAAUCUGUUAAAUUUAUGCACAUUCUCAAAAGUACGUACAAGCAAAUUGGAGUUUUCACUUCGAAACGUUACUCCGCAUUGUGUCAUCCGAUCUGCACGACUCUGUUACAAGCGUUGACUAAUUCGUAUUUUCGGCAGCGGUGUCACAAUUGACUUCGCAGUCGUCCGCUCGAAUCCUGGGACAAGGCUCGGUUCACGCGUAACGAUCAUCAUCGUGUUACGUCAAUCGUCUGUACUUGACCAGGCAACUAACUGUAGCAGCUGAUGGCCUUAAUAACCGGCGUAUAAAUAUACGUACAUAAUAAAACGUAACGACACGCUUCGCGUUUCAUCGAACAGGGAUCGGGUCUAAGAGAAUUCCCGUGAAAUUCGUCACGCGCCACCUCGUUACGGGACUCGUCGCUUAAGAGAAAACCACGACGGCUGGCAAAUUAAAUUAAUCGUAGAAUUCACGGAAAUUUUAGGACGAUGCCGAGAUUAAUGACUCACGACACGUCAAUCUCGUUAGGGUUAAAUGUAACGAUCGUACCUCCUCGUGAUGUAGCACAUCGCGAUCGUUAUGCUUCCAUUAAUCAUUUCUAUAUCUUUUGCAUUUCCAGUGAAAUAUUAUGGCAUCCUUUACCGCUCGAUUGCGUCGAGGAUCUGUGCUAAUUUCGCGCGAAAUAUCGCCCGGUUAUUUACCCUGCGUGAUCUUUGACUCCUAAUUCUUGUUUCUUGAUUGCACUGAUUUGACAGAUUUAGUUGGGUACGAUUUGUAAUAGUCGUAAAGUCACAGAUAAUGUAUCGGUCUUUGAAGUCUCUCUAUAUUCCAUUUGCAUUCUCGAGAGAAGGGUGGCACACAGCGAUACGGAAUUAUAAAUAAUGCUGUUAAGACGCGUAUCGGUAUCAGAAAUGCAAUGCUUAGGGAAGCGAUGCAGGAUUUCGUUUCUAUAGUCUUUGGAAAGGAAUUAACGCAGAGAUGUCGAACACGCAUACCUCACAUUUUAACGUAAUAAUUCUACUAUACGUUAAAUUUGGUUAAACAAAUUCUUUACUCGAUUUAACGUCGUUAUUUUUUAUCGUUCGCUCUUCGGUACUCGUUCGACGAUUAAUUUCAAUGCGAAACGAAUAUUAAGAAAGUAAUACUUUCACUGCAACCGAGCCCGGAAAAUAAACAGAUACAAAAAGAAAGAAAGACGAAAGAAAAUCCCACGAUAAAUCAAUCUGUGCUGCGUUAUUAAUUAAUUCCCUCGCAUGCACGAUUUCAUUCACCGCAAGGCUGAGAUUCUGUUCGUGCACGUAGCCAGCUCGUGCGUUCAAUUCGAACGGCUCGCCGUAAAUCAAACACCUUGAAAGGAGGCUCCGCUGCGUUUAAACGUGUCUACACGCAGAUUUAAGGGAGAGAACAAACGCGUGGUAUCGUCUCGGACGCGGUCCAGUAACAUUUUAAUCGGCUUCCAAGGCUAACUCUGUGUGUAAACGAGCCCUAACGAGCCGUAUAUGCUGAUUCCGCGUGCAGGAGGAUCGUAUGUUGUUGCCACGACCAGUACACGCAACACUGCAUUAUUAAUUGCGAGCCAAUUAAGGCGCGUUACAAUGUUACGUCGUAUCGCAGGCUCUCUGAAUCGGACGAUCAUCCAGCGUUCAUUGAAGAUUAAAGCGGAUCAUCGGGGAUUGAGACAUCCAGAGUGAAAGGCUGAACGGUUUCGGACGAUUCAAGCGAUUUAGGAAGUGGAAAUGAAUGUUAAUCCGCGCUUAGUAUGGAGUUGGGUGUGCUAAGUUUUAUACACGGUGACCCAUUUGAAGCGACACACGCACUUAUCUUCUAAACUAUUCGUUAUGCAAAGAAACGUUUCAAGUAGAACUUGCUGUACUUCGCAGCAGACAUCUCCUGACGAUCAAAAAUCUUAUCUACGAGCUUUCAAAAUUUCAAAGACCUUUAUUUGUUCGUAACGAAACUACAUACGUGUAGCUCGUUCUGCGACGUAUUUUUUGUUUUAUACUUUGAUAGACUGCGAAAGAAAUAUCUCCGCGAACAACUCGGGAAACCGUCGCGAAGCGAAUGGACAAAUUUCCAUGGACAAACCGAUUCUAACAUUCUCGGCUGCGAUCGUAUCGACAAGCAAUCGACUGUACGGUCGCUGGAAUCGAUUUAUUGUUGUUGCGUUGAGAAUACCGACGACUACGCUUGACGCGCGAUCGCGGGCAUCGGAAUCGAACGGUUCGAUGCAGAAAAGCGUACCAGGGUAGAACGAAGUGUCGCCGAGUCGUGACUUAAUUGAACGUAACGACCAGUUGUGUUCUUUCGCCGAUCGAGAGGCAGGGAACAGCCGACAGGAACGAGGAACGUGAAAAAAGAAGAGCCUGCGUCGAUGUGUACCGCAAUUUAUCCAUUGCGCCAGUUUAGCUCAAUCGCCCAAGGAUCACCGGCUCAGAUCGCGCGUACGACUCUUUUCAAAUACAAAAAUAUCCACUUAUGCAGCAAGCGCGUUUGCAACGUAAAAGAUGAGUCAUUUUUGUAUUGCUUCCUAUCUCUCGUUCUGUUACGAGCAAUAGAAAUAGCUGAAUUGAUUUUUGAGAAUCUUAUUAGAAUGCGUUUCGACCAUUGGAGCGCAACUGCUGUUGUUAAUCCAAAACACUAUUUUUUAAUCCAUCUAAUGACUCAGAAUCAAACAUACGAUAAACACUUAUUAUUCGCGUUAUAAUACCACGGCAGAAUAAUUUGCUUAUAAUUCUCAAUGAGAAUUGAUUGUAAAAUUCUUCCAAAUAAAAAGAAAUCUAAUGACACAAAAUUCCCAAAGAAUUUUCCAUCGUCUUCUAUCUCUAUCAAUUGGCAAACUAAAUCACAAAUUUAGGAACACGAUUAAUUUCCAACUGCGUCGAGUAAAAUCGAAUUCACGAGCAACUCUCAACCACUUCCUACUUCCUACCUCUCGAAAACUACCUCCGAGCUUACUCCCGUCAGAGGAAAAAAGAAAUGACUCGAGCAACGAAACAGCUGUUAGAACAAACGAAAAAGAGGCGGUUAAAAAAUACGGUGGAAUCAAGAGGUAUAAUAGAAGCGGACAGCCGCGUCGAAAUACAAGAAUGGGUUUGGUCAUCGGACGCGUUCCGAAUAAAGGCAGUCCUCGGUGAGCCCUUUGAAUGCAUCUCGUCGAGUGGUAGAAAAGGAGGGAGAGUCGAAGAAGGAGCGGACGAAGAGGCAAGCCUGGGAUUAUCACGGUUACAGCUGGUCUCGCGGAUCGAUCGUGAUCGAGCCUCUACGAGUAAAUCGAUCUUAUACGUUUGACAAUCGGGUUCGGAUGUAUCUUGAUCGAGAUACGUAUUAAGGAAUCGACAGCUGAUCGACGCGUGCACGCUGAAAAAGCAGAUGAGGAGAAACGUUUCGACACGUUCUCUCUUCCUUUUGUCCGGAUUACGUAUGUGUUACAAUGUUGCGAUGACCAACGCGCAGUGAAAAAGUUGCGGACGGACAGUUUUUCGAGAUCGAGAUCUUUGCGGCAACUGUAACUCGUUCUCGAGACACGAUACGUUCCUUUUUUCAAAUAAAUUAUACUUUCAAAAUGAA